GCAUGAGUUUCUUCACAAAAGAUAUAAAAAGAUCUGAAAGUUAUAAUAUUUUUUACUUAUUUUUUGCUUAUAAUUGAUCAAAUAAUUAGUAUCACAUACCAAUUGGUUAUCUUCUAAAAAAGUGGGCCAUUUUCUUGCAUUGAUUUUGGUUAAUCUUUUACUCUCUCUGUUCUUGAAUAUAAAAUGUUUAGGAAAAACACACAUAUCAAAAAAAUUGUUUUUUUUUGUCUAGAAAGUAUCAUUAAAAUUAUAAAAUAACUGUAUUCAACCAAUUACAAAAUAGAUUAUUAAAUUUGAUUGAUUACACAGUCUUUAAUAAAGUAAAUGUUGCAAAAUUGAAAACAUCUUAUAUAUUGGAAUAUCAAUUUUUUUUGAAACAUCUUACAUUUAGGAACAGAUGGAGUGGUAAUAUUCUCUCUUUAUGUGAAUCAAUUUUCACCAACAUAUCACGAAGACAAUGAAUGUGUCAGUUCUCAGAAGCAGCAACAAAUGUGACUAACGAGACAUAAAAGUAGACAUCAAUGUGAAUUUUGAUGUGUGAGUUUUGCCUUUUGUGAAUUUUGAAUAGUCUCUAUUUUGCAAUCUUUGUUCCUUAAAAGCAAAUGUACUUGUAAAAUGUGGAUUCUUUUAGUUUGUUUCUACUGCUCUUGUAAUUUUAUUUUCUUUUAGUAUAUAUGUGUUGUAUCUGUAACAUACUCAUCUGAAGAAAUAUUGUGUGCUUUCUAAUCAACUGAGGUCCAAUAAACUGUUUUCUUCCUCUUCAAGAAAUCGCUAUAACCAAAGAUGACGAGAUUAAAGAAACGAUUUCUCUUCUCAAAACUCUUUAGAAGGAAAAAAACUUUUAUCUUCUCAAUAAUUUUUAGAUUAGUGAAAUUCACCCUCUCUUAUAUCAAACUCAAAACAAAACAGAGGAGUCAUGUUCCGUGCUCUUCACUCCACAUUGUUUUUUAAAGACUCCUAUAUUCUCUUAACACGCGCGUGAGCUUCCAACGGUUCGGUUAGUGCGAAGCUUCACACGCGCCUAAAAGCCCUAACGGUCUAAGCAACAACCAACAACCUCGCGCCAUUAUAUAUAAGAUUCUUUAACUAGUUCUUCUUCGCUCAUUCAUCUUUCUCUCUAGACACUUCUCUCAUCUCUGGCCAUGGCUACUUCUCCAUCUGAUAAACUCGUCCAAGAAGAAGAAGUGGGAACAGAUGAGGUUGUUGAUCCCGCCAAAAUAACCCACGAAGAAGAUGAAGCGCGAACAGAGGAAGAAGAAGUGCGAACAGAGGAAGAAGAAGAUGAGCCCAAGGAAGAAGCUAUCGAGAGCCUUCUUGAAUCUACUCGUAAUCUCAACAUAGAAGACGAAGAGACCAACCAAGGAGCUGAGAAUCAGAAUCGUCAAGAAGAUCCGAUCACGACUCAUAGGAGCGACCAAACAAUGGACCGUGGCUCAACAUCGCUUGCAAGUGACCAGAACCGUCCUCUUGAUUCUGAUCCCAACACUUCUCCUAUUAGUCUCAGCGUACAAGACCAAGGAACCGAGAACCAGAAUCCUCAAGAACAGUCAAUGAUUCCUAGGAGCGGUCAAAGGAUGGAACGUGGCUCAACAUCUUCUGCAAGGCAUCAGAACCAAAACCGUCCUCUUGUUCUUCCGAAUCCUCCUUCUCAACACAUGAUGAUGCCUCCUCGUCUUGGCCCAAGCGUGCCUCCAUAUCAGCAAAACCCUUACGGUUUACCCCAGCCAAGAUGGCUCGUAGUAGACCACUUCUACUCAGACGGGCAUGGUCUAUACGGUGCAAUGUGGAGAUUCCGAACCAUAACUCCUUUUCUCCCAAACCAGAACACAUAUCCGCAUCAGCUGGUGCCGAUGGAGCUCCCCGGUCAGCCUGGAACUGAAUUAGUAUGCUACAGCCAGUCCUUCGGUGUGCUUCGGCAGGGCCAGCUUGUUCCCCACCAGGAAGCUCCUCCAAUGAGGCCGCAGCAGCAGAACCAGUUUCGAAGUCUACCUCCAAUGAGGCCGAUGCUGCCACAGGACGACUUCGUUGUCCAUCUAGGUCAAGUCCCGGUGAGGCCAAUGAUGUAUUACCAGGAACAGAACCAGAUUGUUCCCAACGCGGGCAUACAAGCUCCGGCGAGGCCAAGUCUACCCCAAGUCAGAGCUCCGAUGAUGCAGCCACCGGUGCUUUUAUAUCCGCCACCUAUAGUUAACGCUGUACCAGUGAGGCCAAUGAUGAACCAUGGAGGAGGCCAACGGUUUAGGUUCCCCAUGAUUCAACAGCAGCAAGGUUCUCCCAGUGCACCAUGGCCUGAGCAGAAUCAGCAACUUCAGUCUCCAAGGGAGUCUCAGGGUUCCAACGAUGGACCGUUUUCUUCUGGCGGAAGUCAAGACUAGAGCAUAAGAGGUUUAGGUAAAAAGUAAAAAAAAAAAAACGAUUCUCUUGGAUAUACAAAAUGAUCUCAGUUUGAUUUUGAUAAUUGUAAAUGAAAUGUUGAUUACUCUUUUUUUACUCAAAGAUUUAUUAGAAGUUUACUACGAGGUCCUAUAGUUUUCUUAUCCAUCGAUAAUGCCACGUGUAUUUCAUCAGACGGCUGGUGUGAGGAAUUAUUAAAUAAGAUUUUAGAAAACAAGCGAAUUUUUAAAUUAAUCACCUUUGGAUAGUGUGAUUGGGCCAAAGAGAGCCCUUUUAGUGUAAUAAACAAGCCCAUUAAGUAGAAUUUAAACCGUAACAGAAUCCCACAUCGCUUGUGUAAGAAGAGGAAGCUGAGUUUAUAUAGUGAUGGAGUGACGAAGGUGAUUGUCCCUUCGGGGACAUCCGAUAAAAUUGGAACGAUACAGAGAAGAUUAGCAUGGCCCCUGCGCAAGGAUGACACGCACAAAUCGAGAAAUGGUCUAAAUUUUUUUUUGUUUUUUUUUUCCCAAUUCGAUUCCGACGAAAAACCCUAGAAUUCCAGCUGAAUCAUCGUCAAAUUGGAUUUGUUCCCAUCUCUGGUUUGGUGACUUUGGUCAAUUGCAUAGAAAAUUUCAUGCGUUUAUGUGUACAAAAAGAUUAAGAAUCUGAAUCUGGCUUGGUGUUGAAGAGACAAAUUCAAUUCAAUUCCUUUCUGAAUCAGUAUAUCAUUCUUGGUGAUGGAUUUAGGAAAUGAGAUUAAUGUGGCCUUUUGUUGUUAGAUAUGGCUUUAUUUUGCUAUGUUUCACCAUAUUUUGAAUCAGUAUAUACAUUGAAUUCAAUUCAAUUCGAUUCCUUUCUGAAUCAGUAUAACUAGUUCUGUCAACUCUUGUCUUCAUUUGUACAAAAGAUUAAUGUGGCCUUUUGUUGUUAGAGAUGGAUUUAUUUUGCUAUGUUUCACUAUAUUUUGCUACUUAAUUUCUCCAUGAGAUCUUUAUGUUUUAUGGCAUUUUGUAAUGGUGCAUCUAGUUACAUGUUCGGUGUUCCAACUUUUUAUGACGUUUACAGAUUUUCCUGAUAUUCAAAGUAUUUGAUGAAAAAACUCUUUUUAGUUUAUAAAGCCCAUAAGAAACAUUUUAGUCAUAUUUCUGACUUGCUUUUAAACAUUAACAAUAAUAUUUUUCUUACUUUUAAACAUUUUAACAAUAUAUAUUUUCGAUCUUGGAGUUUUAAUCGGAUCUGCCAGCAGACUGUGUGGGCUGUCUUUUGCUGUUCGGAUCUCUUUUAGUGGAUUCGAUAAUUGUUGGAGCAGCAAAAGUUAGCAGAAGAACAUAAAAGUGGCUAGAAACAAACAUAAAGCAGUUUUGUCAUUGUGAUGUUCUUUUGUUUUCUAGCUACCAACCUCGUGGUAGUGAUCGACACGUUCUACCAAUAUUUAAUGCAAACUGGAAAGAAAAGAACUGACGGAUGAUAUUUAUUUCCCUGGAGAAUGGAGACGACUCAGAGUCUCAGACGAAUGACGAAGUGCAAUUUUUUAAUUUUUAAUUAAAUUCCUUAAAACAUUCAAAAUCGAAUAAGGGAAAUUGCACCCACUAGCUGACUAGCAGAAACAAAAUUCAUUAA